CUCAAAGGAAUUGACGGGGCCGCACAAGCGGUGGAGUAUGUGGUUUAAUUCGAUGCAACGCGAAGAACCUUACCUGGUCUUGACAUCCCGGAGACCCUUAGGAAACUAGGGGGUGCUUCCAUCUGGAAGAAUCUGGAGACAGGUGCUGCAUGGCUGUCGUCAGCUCGUGUCGUGAGAUGUUGGGUUAAGUCCCGCAACGAGCGCAACCCUUGCCUUUAGUUGCCAGCAGUUCGGCUGGGCACUCUAAAGGGACUGCCGGUGUUAAACCGGAGGAAGAUGGGGAUGACGUCAAGUCCUCAUGGCCUUUAUGACCAGGGCUACACACGUACUACAAUGGCCGAUACAAAGGGCAGCGACACUGCGAGGUGAAGCCAAUCCCGUAAAAUCGGUCUCAGUCCGGAUUGGAGUCUGCAACUCGACUCCAUGAAGUUGGAAUCGCUAGUAAUCGUGGAUCAGCAUGCCACGGUGAAUACGUUCCCGGGCCUU
rnacentral:rRNA from 1 species